rnacentral:rRNA from 1 species
GUGCCAGCCGCCGCGGUAAUACGUAGGGGGCUAGCGUUGUCCGGAUUUAUUGGGCGUAAAGAGCGCGUAGGCGGCCGAGUAAGUCCGACGUGAAAUCUGGAGGCUCAACCUCCAGCGGUCGUUGGAAACUACUCGGCUAGAGUCCGGAAGAGGAGAGUGGAAUUCCUGGUGUAGCGGUGAAAUGCGCAGAUAUCAGGAAGAACACCGAUGGCGAAAGCAGCUCUCUGGGACGGUACUGACGCUGAGGCGCGAAAGCGUGGGGAGCGAACAGGAUUAGAUACCCUGGUAGUCC